GUGAAAUUUCCUCGAGAGAUAGCUGUUCCAGGCUGCACAGAACCUUUAAUCAUUCUUGGAACAGGUUCAGGUCACGUGGAUACUGGACAGCAUUUUUGUGGUACCAAGGACAAAAGCACGUCAGUGAACUUUCAUGCCUGGUUCAAACAAGGGUGAAGAUAUGGCUUGUACAAGUUUGAACUAUGAAGCCAACUUCUUUUACUUUGAACCCUAAUAUAACUGCAGAUAAUCAAAUUGGCCAUAACUUCUGUGUUUGUCUAAAGAUAAAAUGGUUAGUGAAAUUUGCAGAAGUAAACAAGCUCUAGAAACACUUCCUUGAUGGCAUACUUUCUCUAAAUGUAAUAUAUCAAGAAAGAAAUUAUCAGUCAAAGUUGUCUUUUUUCAUGAGGGAUGGCCACUCAGCAAGGUAAUGAAAGGCACACAACAGCUAGGCACACAUCAGCAGCAGACCUUCUGUAUAGAGAUUUCCUUAUCUUCAUGUUAGAUUUGGCUUGUUAGCUACACCCUCUUCCUAUGUGAAAAAAAAGCAAUCUAAUCUGCAUUGCAUGAUUUUGUGUGUAUAAAUGGAUAAAAGAAUAUUUUAAAUUUAACCAUUAAAUGUCACAUUAUAUCGAUUACAGUUUUCAAUUUGAAUUUUAGCCCACUUCUAGGUUACAGAGAGAAAUUCUUUCUAAAAAUAUAUGCUGCUGCAUUCUAUGUUGAUUGCUCCAUCGGUGUUGACACUGCGCGAUGGAGAGAAAAGGUUGUUAUUGAGACCUUUGAUGCUUCCUCAGUUUUUGACUCCAUUUUUAAAGCACCGGUUGUGAAAUCAUUGAGUAUAAUUCUCGUUAGAGAUGUUGAUGGCAAGACAUUUGUGAAGGCUCUAGAUGACAUCAUUACACGGCAAAUAAAAAAACCAAGUACUGAGGAAGAGCAUAGCUUGUCAACUUUCGAGAAAGCCUUUCUAGGGCGUAGCCUCAAACAAGGAACAACUGUCUAUCUAACUUGGCUUGAACCCUCGAGACUUCUGAUCUCAAUUGCAGGAAACCAAGAUUCAUCUCAAGUUGACGCUGAAAUCACGUCAGCCACCGUUAAUUAUGCUCUAUAUGAUGGCUUCUUCGGUGGUACUCCAGUAUCCCCUACUUUGAGAUCUUCUACUUCACAACUGCUAGAAGCUAUUCUUACAAAGUGACAGAUUAACCAAAAUAAUGGUUCGCUAAUGCCUAAUGGGCGAAGUCUAGUUGGUCGUGGGAUCAUCCUCGAGUACAAAUUUUCAUCUUGGAUUUUUUUAAUUUUUUUAACGUUUGGCUAUUUAUAUGAAUAUCUAAUUAAAUUCAAAUACAUUUCAAACAUGAAUAUUGGUAUGGUGAUAUAUAUCUUCUUACCAGAAAUAUUUUAAUUCCUUUAUUAAGCGUAUUGGAAUUUUGUAAACGAUAUAUACCUUACUAUACUAGAUUCACCUGGGAUGUUUCAUGUGAUCAGAAGAUUGUCAAUUUUGCUAUUUCGCUGGUCGUCUUAUAUCUCUGCUACAUAGAAGAGAGGGGCCAUCCCAUCUUUCAUCCCUCCUAUCACGCGUGAGUUUUCCUUCUCUUCGAAAACAAACCACUCUAAGAAAACUGAUGGAACCAAGCCAAAAAAAAAAAAUCCGAACUAUUGAAAAAAAAAGUGCUCCACAAGAAAACUGAGGGAGAAUACUGGAAUAGAAAAGUAAAAAAAAAAGUGAACUAGGUGAAACCAUCGCCCCCGUUGCAGCAUACCGUCAUGUCACUAAAUGAUUUUUAAAAU